rnacentral:rRNA from 1 species
GACGAACGCUGGCGGCGUGCCUAAUACAUGCAAGUUGAACGCUAAAGCUUUAACUGGUGCUUGCACCGACCUAAGUUUUUAGAGUAGCGGACGGGUGAGUAACACGUGGGUAACCUGCCCAUCAGAGGGGGAUAACACUUGGAAACAGGUGCUAAUACCGCAUAAUUCCUUUUACCGCAUGGUAAAAGGCUGAAAGGCGCUUCUGGUGUCACUGAUGGAUGGACCCGCGGUGCAUUAGCUAGUCGGUGGGGUAACGGCCUACCGAGGCGAUGAUGCAUAGCCGACCUGAGAGGGUGAUCGGCCACAUUGGGACUGAGACACGGCCCAAACUCCUACGGGAGGCAGCAGUAGGGAAUUUUUCACAAUGGGCGAAAGCCUGAUGGAGCAAUGCCGCGUGAAUGAUGAAGGUCUUACAGAUUGUAAAAUUCUUUUAUUUGGGAAGAACGACCACGAUAGGAAAUGAUCGUGGAAUGACUGUACCAUUUGAAUAAGUAUCGGCUAACUAUGUGCCAGCAGCCGCCGUAACAC